rnacentral:rRNA from 1 species
UACAGAGGGGGCGAGCGUUGUUUGGAAUUACUGGGCGUAAAGGGCGCGUAGGUGGCCAACUAAGUCGGACGUGAAAUCCCUCGGCUUAACCGGGGAACUGCGUCCGAUACUGGUUGGCUUGAGUUUGGGAGAGGGAUGCGGAAUUCCAGGUGUAGCGGUGAAAUGCGUAGAUAUCUGGAGGAACACCGGUGGCGAAGGCGGCAUCCUGGACCAAUACUGACGCUGAGGAGCGAAAGCCAGGGGAGCAAACGGG